AUGGAGUUUGGUGUAGCCACAUUUAGCGCGGUAGCUGCCGUCGUCAUAUCAAAGCUCUGCGUGGUGAUGGAAAAUAUUUUAAAGAAGGUCCCGGAAAUUAGAGCUGAUGUUAGGUGCAUCAAAGAGGAUCUGGAGGCGAUCGAAGCUGCCAUUGAACUUCAUGGUCUCAAUCGCGAACAUGUCAUAUUCAUUGCACAACUGAGGCGGCUGGCAUAUGACAUCGAAGACUGCAUCGACCGCUUCGAUGCCAAGAAGAUGGUCCUCAAGGAUUUUGCCAAAGAGAUUGUCAUACUCAAGGAAAUAUCGACUGAUACGACCAACAGGAUACAGAAGUUUAAUUUCCUUGCAGAAGAGGAUGACAGGACUGCACAAGGGCAAAGGGCUGCUGAUGUCCCAGCAGAGCUUCAGAAUCUCGGUGAUUAUAACCCCAACUGCUUGCUAUACUUGUGCUUGUUCCCUCGUAAUCAUCAAGUCAGGACUAAGCCCCUAGCAAGGAGAUGGCUGGCCGAAGGACUAGUACAAGGAGAACAGCUCGCAGUAAAAAAUAUGAAAAUUCUCACCAACUCGAGUAUCUUCAGUUCCAUCCAGAGAAGCAACAAUGGGGAGGUGAGGAGAUGCCAACCUACCGACGAGACGUUCCGGUACAUCUCCCAACAGUCGGUAUCAGAGAAUUUCGUAUUGUUCUGUGAUGGCGCGGCCCAACCAUCGCAGGGGAAAUCAUUGCAGGCCCAAGUCGCCCGCAGGCUAUCUGUGCAUCCUUCUGCAAACGUGCAACUGAAUUUGCCUCAGGAUCUGUCUCGUCUCCGGACCCUGGCGGUAUUCCCUGCCGGUGAGGUGAAUCUCGCCAGUUAUGAAGACGUUUUAGAUUUUGCCAGGUAUCAAGUGCUGCGGGUGUUGGAUCUGAAAGAAUGUGCUCACCUGAGCGAAGAACAUCUCAGAGAUAUCUGGGGCCAGGUGCUCAUCAAAUAUCUGAGCAUCAAUUUGGGUAGCAUUGCUGAGAUUAAUAGCUCAAUCAAGCACCUGGAUCAGUUAGAGACACUCGACCUGAGUGGAAGCCAAACUGUGACGGUGUUCAAAGAAGUCCUCCUGCUGCCCAAAUUGAAGCACCUCUUCGGGAGGUUCCAGCUUUCCAAAAAAGAUACCUUCACUCCGGGAUGGUUACUAACAUCAGGUCUACAAGAGUUCCUGAAACGUAAGAGUAGGCUGGAGACGCUGGCAGGAUUUGUCACCAAUGAGAGACUAGGAUUUCCACAACUGUUGAAUCUUAUGAAGCACUUGCGGAAGGUGAAGAUAUGGUUCGAAUCCGACGCUAGCGAAAGGAACGUGAAAGUUCUUUCAAAAUCCAUUACGGAAUUCAUUGGUGCUGGUGUCACUCAGCCUGAUCUUAAUCGGUCCCUGUCCAUUGAAUUCGAAGAAUGCUCGGGAGAGUACGUGAAUAAUAUCAGCCAAGUUGCAGGCAUACUCGCCUCGCUCAAGCUGCGCGGCAACCUGCCCCAAUUCCCUCCGUUUGUUGCAGGACUUAGUGCUAUCGAGGAGCUGUGCCUUUGGUCCACUGGGCUGACCUGGGAGGUUAUUCGAGCCGGGCUGAGCAGGGUGAGAGGACUGAAAUAUCUGAAGCUUAUUGAAGAUAACCUUGGGCGCCUCGACGUACUGUCUGAAGCUGAGCACCUCAAAGCCAUUGAGCGGAUAUGCGUCGUGUGCAAGCAAAGGCUGGAAGUAGCAAUCGCAGCUCGCCCGCUGCCUAAUCUUGUGUCACUUCAUAUCCUCUGCCAAGAUCUGCACGGUAUUCCUCAUAAUCCCCUCAUCGAAAUCACACGCAUGGCAAAACUCCAGGAAGUCGCGCUCCAUCAUCAAGUAGACGAUACCACAAAAGAUGAACUGCUACAAAUUGCGGAUGGCCAUCCUAAUACGCCCAAAGUUUUGUUCCUCGAA
rnacentral:rRNA from 1 species